AUGAACGCUGGCGGCGUGCCUAAUACAUGCCAGUCGAGCGCACAGACGAGGAGCUUGCUCCUCUGACGUUAGCGGCGGACGGGUGAGUAACACGUGGAUAACCUACCUAUAAGACUGGGAUAACUUCGGGAAACCGGAGCUAAUACCGGAUAAUAUAUUGAACCGCAUGGUUCAAUAGUGAAAGACGGUUUUGCUGUCACUUAUAGAUGGAUCCGCGCCGCAUUAGCUAGUUGGUAAGGUAACGGCUUACCAAGGCAACGAUGCGUAGCCGACCUGAGAGGGUGAUCGGCCACACUGGAACUGAGACACGGUCCAGACUCCUACGGGAGGCAGCAGUAGGGAAUCUUCCGCAAUGGGCGAAAGCCUGACGGAGCAACGCCGCGUGAGUGAUGAAGGUCUUCGGAUCGUAAAACUCUGUUAUUAGGGAAGAACAAAUGUGUAAGUAACUAUGCACGUCUUGACGGUACCUAAGCAGAAAGCCACGGCUAACUACGU
rnacentral:rRNA from 1 species